GACGAACGCUGGCGGCGUGCUUAACACAUGCAAGUCGAACGGUAAGGCCCUUCGGGGUACACGAGUGGCGAACGGGUGAGUAACACGUGGGUGAGCUGCCCUGCACUUCGGGAUAAGCCUGGGAAACUGGGUCUAAUAACGGAUAGGACUCCGAACUGCAUGGUCGGGGGUGGGAAGCUUUUGCGGUGUGGGAUGGGCCCGCGGCCUAUCAGCUUGGUGGUGGGGUGAUGGCCUACCAAGGCGACGACGGGUAGCCGGCCUGAGAGGGUGACCGGCCACACUGGGACUGAGAUACGGCCCAGACUCCUACGGGAGGCAGCAGUGGGGAAUAUUGCACAAUGGGCGCAAGCCUGAUGCAGCGACGCCGCGUGAGGGAUGACGGCCUUCGGGUUGUAAACCUCUUUCAGCACGGACGAAGCGCAAGUGACGGUAUGUGCAGAAGAAGGACCGGCCAACUACGUGCCAGCCGCCGCAGUAA
rnacentral:rRNA from 1 species